rnacentral:rRNA from 1 species
CAGGACGAACGCUGGCGGCGUGCUUAACACAUGCAAGUCGAACGAUGACGAUGGUGCUUGCACCGUCUGAUUAGUGGCGAACGGGUGAGUAACACGUGAGUAACCUGCCCUCCUCUUCGGGAUAACCGCCGGAAACGGUGGCUAAUACCGGAUAUGAAUGCCUGCCGCAUGGUGGGUGUUGGAAAGAUUUAUCGGUGGGGGAUGGACUCGCGGCCUAUCAGUUUGUUGGUGAGGUAAUGGCUCACCAAGGCGAUGACGGGUAGCCGGCCUGAGAGGGCGACCGGCCACACUGGGACUGAGACACGGCCCAGACUCCUACGGGAGGCAGCAGUGGGGAAUAUUGCACAAUGGGCGAAAGCCUGAAUGCAGCGACGCCGCGUGGGGGAUGACGGCCUUCGGGUUGUAAACCUCUUUCAGUAGGGAAGAAGCGAGAGUGACGGUACCUGCAGAAGAAGCGCCGGCUAACUACGUGCCAGCCGCCGC